AAUGAACGCUGGCGGCAGGCUUAACACAUGCAAGUCGAGCGCGAACGCACCUUCGGGUGUUAUUAGAGCGGCAAACGGGUGAGUAACACGUGGGAAUCUACCUUUCAGUCUGGGAUAGCCCUUGGAAACGAGGAUUAAUACCGGAUACGGACUAUGGUCGAAAGAUUUAUCGCUGAAAGAUGAGCCCGCGCAACAUUAGCUAGAUGGUAGGGUAAUGGCCUACCAUGGCGACGAUGUUUAGUUGGUCUGAGAGGAUGAUCAGCCACACUGGGACUGAGAUACGGCCCAGACUCCUACGGGAGGCAGCAGUGAGGAAUAUUGCACAAUGGAGGAAACUCUGAUGCAGCCAUGCCGCGUGUGUGAUGAAGGCCUUAGGGUUGUAAAACACUUUUAGCAGGGAAGAUAAUGACGGUACCUGCAGAAAAAGCUCCGGCUAACUCCG
rnacentral:rRNA from 1 species